rnacentral:rRNA from 1 species
GAUCCUGGCUCAGGAUGAACGCUAGCUACAGGCUUAACACAUGCAAGUCGAGGGGCGAGCAUGAACUUAGCUUGCUAAGUUUGAUGGCGACCGGCGCACGGGUGAGUAACACGUAUCCAACCUGCCGAUGGACUCGGGGAUAGCCUUUCGAAAGAAAGAUUAAUACCCGAUGGCAUAGUUCUUCCGCAUGGUAGAACUAUUAAAGAAUUUCGGUCAUCGAUGGGGAUGCGUUCCAUUAGG